CUCUACUGAAGUCGUGCGCACCGCUUGCUGGCCUUCUCUCUGUGACUUACCGUACACAGGUUCCUCACAGUCUGAACAUAUUUGAGGGAAGCCCAGGAACCUGUUAUUUAAGCAAGGAACCUUGACCAAGGCAAGGAGCUUGCCUUGACUACAAGACUUGACAAGGCCAAGGCCUUAUUUUCCCGGCUUCCUCUGCACUUUGGUUAGGAGCACAUGAUUGAGGCUCCAGCAAUCAAUGAAUCCAC
rnacentral:lncRNA from 1 species